GAUGAACGCUAGCUACAGGCUUAACACAUGCAAGUCGAGGGGAAACGAUAUUGGAAGCUUGCUUCCGAUAGGCGUCGACCGGCGCACGGGUGAGUAACGCGUAUCCAACCUGCCCGUCACUUGGGAAUAACCUUGCGAAAGUAAGACUAAUGCCCAAUGACAUUUAUAGAAGGCAUCUGAAAUGAAUUAAAGAUUUAUCGGUGAUGGAUGGGGAUGCGUCUGAUUAGCUUGUUGGCGGGGUAACGGCCCACCAAGGCGACGAUCAGUAGGGGUUCUGAGAGGAAGGUCCCCCACAUUGGAACUGAGACACGGGUCCAAACUCCUACGGGAGGCAGCAGUGAGGAAUAUUGGUCAAUGGGCGAGAGCCUGAACCAGCCAAGUAGCGUGCAGGAAGACGGCCCUAUGGGUUGUAAACUGCUUUUAUGCGGGGGAUAAAGUGGGGGGACGCGUCCCUUUUUGCAGGUACCGCAUGAAUAAGGACCGGCUAAUUCCGUG
rnacentral:rRNA from 1 species